rnacentral:lncRNA from 1 species
GUUUAACCACAUUUGGGUCCAAAAGUUCAGAUCGCACAAAAAAUACAUAUCUUUCAAAACGGGAUAUAUUAUCCUGUCUAGACCUUUAGAUAUCAUUUAGAUAAAACUCUAUUUGUAAUAUAAACUAGUAGAUACAUGGCUGCUGUAUAUAUUAUAUGUAGCUAGUAUCUUGCCUGUUUACAUUUAACCAAUUUACUUCAACUUUUAUGAAAGUUAACAGUGUAGGGAAGAUUCACAUGCACUCAUUCGGUAUA